GACGUAGGGGGCAAGCGUUGUCCGGAAUUAUUGGGCGUAAAGAGCUCGUAGGCGGCCUGUUGCGUCCGCUGUGAAAGCCCGGGGCUUAACCCCGGGUCUGCAGUGGAUACGGGCAGGCUAGAGGUAGGUAGGGGAGAAUGGAAUUCCCGGUGUAGCGGUGAAAUGCGCAGAUAUCGGGAGGAACGCCGGUGGCGAAGGCGGUUCUCUGGGCCUUACCUGACGCUGAGGAGCGAAAGCGUGGGGAGCGAACAGG
rnacentral:rRNA from 1 species